rnacentral:rRNA from 1 species
AGUGAACGCUGGCGGUAGGCCUAACACAUGCAAGUCGAACGGCAGCACAGUAAGAGCUUGCUCUUACGGUUGGCGAGUGGCGGACGGGUGAGGAAUACAUCGGAAUCUACUUUUUCGUGGGGGAUAACGUAGGGAAACUUACGCUAAUACCGCAUACGACCUACGGGUGAAAGCAGGGGGUCUUCGGACCUUGCGCGAUUGAAUGAGCCGAUGUCGGAUUAGCUAGUUGGCGGGGUAAAGGCCCACCAAGGCGACGAUCCGUAGCUGGUCUGAGAGGAUGAUCAGCCACACUGGAACUGAGACACGGUCCAGACUCCUACGGGAGGCAGCAGUGGGGAAUAUUGGACAAUGGGCGCAAGCCUGAUCCAGCCAUACCGCGUGGGUGAAGAAGGCCUUCGGGUUGUAAAGCCCUUUUGUUGGGAAAGAAAAGCAGCAGGUUAAUACCCCGCUGUUCUGACGGUACCCAAAGAAUAAGCACCGGCUAACUUCGUG